rnacentral:tRNA from 1 species
UCCUCUGUAGUUCAGUCGGUAGGACGGCGGACUGUUAAUCCGUAUGUCACUGGUUCGAGUCCAGUCAGAGGAGCCA